GGUAAUUUGAGGUUAAUACCGGAUAUGAAAGAAAUUCUGGAAUGAAUUUUUUUUAAAAGUAAUGCCAUAGGAUGAGUCGGCGGCUGAUUAGGUUGUUGGUGGGGUAAUGGUCCACCAAGUUGAUGAUCAGUAGGGGCUUUGAGAGAGGGAGCCCCGAGAAGGGCACUGAGAUAUUGGCCCUAGCCCUACGGGGUGCAGCAGCGCGAAACCUUUACAAUGCACGAAAGUGUGAUAAGGGGAUCCUAAGUGCCCAUACAUAGUAUGGGCUUUUGUCAUGAGUAAAUACCAUGGCGAAUAAGUGGUGGGUAAGACGGGUGCCAGCCGCCGCGGUAACACCCGCGCCACGAGUGGCAAUCAGUAUUAUUGGGCCUAAAGCGUCCGUAGCAGGAUUGAUAAAUCUUCUGUGAAAUCGUAGUGCUUGACAUUACGGCGUGCAGAAGACACUGUCAAUCUAGGAACCGGGAGGAGUUAGGAGUAUUUUUGGGGGAGUGGUAAAAUACGAUAAUCCCAGAAAGACUACUAGUGGCGAAGGCGCCUAACUAGAACGGAUUCGACUGUGAGGGACGAAAGCCAGGGGAGUAAAUCGGAUUAGAUACCCGAGUAGUCCUGGCUGUAAACGCUGCGAGCUAGGUGUUACGUGCUCUUUGGGAGCAUGUAGUGUCGAAAUGAAGGUAUUAAGCUCGCCGCCUGGGAAGUACGGUCGUAAGACUGAAACUUAAAGGAAUUGGCGGGGGAGCACCACAAGGGGUGCGGCGUGCGGUUUAAUCUAAUUUAAUAUAGAAAAUCUCACCAGAGGCGACGGCAGGAUGAAAGUCAGGCUAAAGACCUUACUUGACAAGCCGAGAGGUAGUGCAUGGCCGCCGUCAGCUCGUGCCGUAAGGUGUCCUGUUAAGUCAGGCAACGAGCGAGACCUGUACUUACAAUUGCUAAUAGCUAUUUUUAGGAUUGAGCACAUUGUGGGGACUGCCCGUGAAAACGGGAGGAAGGUGCAGGCUACGGUAGGUCUGUAUGCUCCGAAUCUUCUGGGCUACACGCGCGCAACAAUGAUAAGGACAAUGGGUUAUGAUUCCGUAAGGAGAAGUUAAACCUUGUAACCUUAUCUAAGUGCAGAUUGAGGUUUGUAACUCAGCCUCAUGACGAUGGAAUCCCUAGUAAUCGUGGUUCAUUAGAUCACGGUGAAUAUGUCCCUGCUCCUUGCACACACCGCCCGUCAAACCAACCGAGCAGGGUUUAGGUGAGUUUUAGUUUUUUGACUAGACCGAACCUAAGCUCAGUGAGGUGGGUUAAGUCGUCACAAGGUA
rnacentral:rRNA from 1 species